CAAAUUCCAAUUAGAUUUUAAAUUCAAACAAAGUUCUAAUUUGCACACCAAAAAUAUAUUUCAACAUAAAUGCAAGGUUCAUGUAUUAAGUUUAUUCAUUUGUUUAUUACCUUAUUUAUUUAGGCAAUGUUUUCAAUAUGCAACACAAAAUAUUCAUUUUACGAAAGUAUUUCGAAUGUUUAGUCCAUUAGAGGUUCAUUCC
rnacentral:lncRNA from 7 species